rfam:Felis catus isolate Cinnamon breed Abyssinian chromosome D3, whole genome shotgun sequence.
ACCUGGCUGGCUCAGUCGGUUGAGCGUCUGACUACAGCUCAGGUCAUGAUCUCACGGUUUGUGAGUUCGAGCCCUGCGUCAGGCU